GUUCAGCAUAUACUUGCUCAAAUAUAUAAACUAAAAGCAGGUUCUUUUGAGUUGUUUGGAGGAUGCAUGGCUACAUAUAACCUGGUAGUGCAUGUACUGUGGGGCUCAUCCAAAUGGGAGAGGCCCUGUCGGGGGCCUGCAUCAGAGUGAGGAGGCACGUCCCUGGGUAGCUCACCCUGGCCACCAGGAUGUGAAGACCCCUGGGGAUCUGCAGAACAGUGUUAAUGACACCGAUGGGAGGGGUCGUCCUUCUGGUUACUGAUGUGAACGGCAGUGGCUCCAGUAUUUCACCAUUAAGCAUCCUGCUGGACUUGAUUUUACAUAGAGGCCUGUGCAGGUACAACACAGCGAGAAGGCUCACCAUCCCCUCGUGAAGACCGCUCUCCACAGUUUUAUGCUAAAACACAGAGGGUAACCUCAGAGAGAUCACGUCCUUCAGAUUAGACGCACACGCUCAGGCGUCUCUGGUUCCCUGUACCUGUCUGUUUCGACUCCCUCACUAUAACAGACCUUUGUGAAACUUCUGCCCCAAAGAAGAAGUUCUUUUGGCCUAGAAUGCCCGUCCCUUCUUCACCUCGCCAUCUUCUUCACCUGACAAAUGGAAAUGGCAAGCAAUAGGAUAUAUUGGAGUAUAUGAGGAAGCCAUUUGGUGUAAACCUAAUUCGGCCUGACUUUGUUUUUUCCAAAAGGGCCUGACGUGGUCGUUGAGCACGUGUUGUACAUCCGCUUUAAAACAUUUCCUGUGGCAAGAACAAAUGGCCUUAAGAUAAAGGUACAGCUUCCCCCAACACUGGCAUUUCCUUAAGGAUAGG